UACGGGGGGGGCAAGCGUUGUUCGGAAUUACUGGGCGUAAAGGGCGCGUAGGCGGCCUGCUAAGUCGGACGUGAAAUCCCUCGGCUCAACCGGGGAACUGCGUCCGAUACUGGCGAGGCUUGAAUCCGGGAGAGGGAUGUGGAAUUCCAGGUGUAGCGGUGAAAUGCGUAGAUAUCUGGAGGAACAUCGGUGGCGAAGGCGGCAUCCUGGACCGAUAUUGACGCUGAUGCGCGAAAGCCAGGGGAGCAAACGGG
rnacentral:rRNA from 1 species